UGAACUGUAUCCUCUUUGCUGCUAAGGCUGGCGCAAACCAGACUUUAUGACUCUUUGAACGUAGUUUAUGGAUGCCCCUGCUGCGAUUGUUCUUGCCACAUACCGGUCGCCGUGUCACUAGAAUUUAAUCUUGUGGUCCACACGAGUGAGAAAUAUUAUUCAACCCACCCCCCCAGUUGCCGUAAAUUUAAACAAUCGGCACGAAGCAUCCUAUCCGAUGACCUAACUUUCGCCUGUCGCCGCCCGAUUCAAACUGCCAGACGUUAGCGUUUCGAGGAGUUAACCAGCGUACAUUCUCGUGACCAGAAGGUACAUCCCCGUUUGGAGCUUCUGAAAAGCUUAAGAUUCUGGAAGUAGACUUCUCGGCUACUAAGCAGCAGACAAGGUGAAUAGGGUUUGCAGUGCCAGAGAGACACGUGAUCGUGUCCUUGCGCUGAGCACCGGACAUGGCCUUCGAUGCCUGAGCAGAUCCUAGGCCCCUAUGUCGCACUACUUUCAAGCCAUGUACUGCAUGGGAAGUUAUCCCGAACCUACUAAGAUCUUGUGCUCCCCACGGUUAACCUCUGCUACAACCCUCUGUUUAGGAUACUGCUUCAGAAUGCGCCCCACAUUUUUGUUUGUUAAAAACCAUUAUCAAUGCUGCUCUCUAAAAACCCUAGAGAAUGGCAUUGGAAACAAUGUAAUUGAGUCUCGAUCAUUCGCUAAAGAUGACUUGGGUAUCGCUGCUCUCUUUUCAUUAUUAUUAUUAUUAUUAUUAUUUAUUUUUUUGGCUGUAUCAGAGAUAACUGCGAAAGCUAGACCGGACAAAAAACUGGAGUUGGCAAUUGCAACAGUGGUUGCGUUUUACAACCGAGACCCGUUUGGAUUUGUGGCAGUGUGGUGGAAGGCGGACCUCGCCAGCGCUACUCCACCUCAUGGCAAAACCCUGGAGAUUCUCAUUCAAUCCACAUUGCAGAGGCAUAUCCGCAAACCACCGCAAGUUGCAAGUGACGAUGAAUGCUGACGAUCUUAAAUGUCUUCGGGGUUGUAAGAUUGACCAAGUUCACCAAGAGCUUCUUACAAGCGGUGCAAUCAUCGACUCCGCAGCAAGUAACUCAGAUGUAAUACCAAGAGGCACUGAAGAGAUUGGGCAGCACAGGAGAAGCAUCGACACUUUCGGACCAGAUAUUUCAGCAGAACUUACAGCGGAGCCCAUGUGUAAGUUUCGAUAGGAGUGAACCAUCUUCUUUCAUGCCGGUUUUCUUACAGCGCGAGUGCUAAAAUCCUUUAAUAAAUUGAUGAACAGGGUUGGUGCGAAAA